rnacentral:rRNA from 1 species
CUGCAACUCGACUACAUGAAGCUGGAAUCGCUAGUAAUCGCGAAUCAGAAUGUCGCGGUGAAUACGUUCCCGGGUCUUGUACACACCGCCCGUCACACCAUGGGAGUUGGGAAUGCCCGAAGCCGGUGACCUAACCGAAAGGGAGGAGCCGUCGAAGGCAGGCUUGAUAACUGGGGUGAAGUCGUAACAAGGUAAC